rnacentral:rRNA from 1 species
GACGAACGCUGGCGGCGUGCUUAACACAUGCAAGUGGAGCGACGAACCAGGGCUUGCCCUGGGGCAGAGCCGCGAACGGGUGAGUAACACGUGGGUAACGUGCCCCAAUGAUCGGGACAACCCGGGGAAACCCUGGCUAAUACCGAAUGUGCUCCCCUCACACCAGUGAGGGAUGGAAAGGAAGCUUCGGCCUCCGCAUUGGGAUCGGCCCGCGGCCCAUUAGCUUGUUGGUGAGGUAACGGCUCACCAAGGCUGCGAUGGGUAGCUGGUCUGAGAGGACGAUCAGCCACACUGGGACUGAGACACGGCCCAGACUCCUACGGGAGGCAGCAGUGGGGAAUCUUGCGCAAUGCGCGAAAGCGUGACGCAGCAACGCCGCGUGGGGGAAGAAGGCCUUCGGGUUGUAAACCCCUUUCAGGAGGGACGAAGCCUUGGCGGUUAAUAGCCGACCGAGGUGACGGUACCUCCAGAAGAAGCCCCGGCUAACUACGUGCCAGCCGCCGCCGUAAUAC